GGGCCAUUCGCUCAGUUGGUAGAGCAAGCGACUCUUAAUCGCUGGGUCGAAGGUUCGACUCCUUCAUGGCCCA
rnacentral:tRNA from 1 species